GUUCUGCGCCGCGCUCCGGCCCCCAGGCGUAUCGGCAUACCACAGCUGAUGAAUGACGGCUGCUUUCUGGGUCGCCAGCGCGCUACGGAGAAGGGAGGACAGGCUAGUGCUGCAGAGCGUGCACUGAGUGAACAGUGCAGGUGGACCGUCCUGUCUGUGCCCACCAGGAUGGACACACUCCCCCCCCCCCCCCCACAACACCACCUUGCCCAGUGCCAUCUUUGGGGGUGGAUAUAAAUAUCAUGUGGACUGACGAUGCCUGCUGUGUGUGUUUCUGUGAGUGUGUAUGUCUCUGUCUCUGUGUUUCUGUUAAAGGUAAGGGUCAAUCUAAGUCGUAUCUGCAAUUCUGUGCAGAUUUGUAAACAUUCAUAUUUUUUUAAAUAUUUAAUCAUAUAUUUGAAUUGUAUUAUUAUUUGUAAUAUUAUCCCCAUUAUUGUUAUUUAUAUUAUUUAGUUUUAUGUUUGUAAUAAGGCCACCAGAGGGCAGUAAACAUCCAGAAAUGUCCACAAAGUUUUUUUUAACAUUUUCAGCCUAAGCAAAUACAACAUAAACUAUUUGAUCAUUUCUUAGGGUCAAAGGUUAUUUAUUAUCUCAUAUUUGCCUAGGGUCCUAUAUUAAUAAAUUAUGUUUUGAUAACUUGCUAUCAUGGUUGAUUCUAACAGUAGUGUAUUGUAGUCCUUUUAUUGUAAAUAUGUUCGAUGGAUGAGAAUUAAGCUUAAGACAGUAGAUAAAAAGCAGCAAAAGUCUUGGGUACAUUUGCAAAAUGUAAUUGUUUUAGUUGUCCUGUUGUCCAAUGUCCCGUUUCUUUAUCUGCAGAGUCAGAGUGCAGGAGUCAGAGAGAGGAGGCGGUGCGGAGCUAAUGCGUCCUCAUUAAUCUCUUAAUCCUCAUUUCCUCUCCGACCCUCUGCCCGUGAACUCGUCUGGCCCCACGAGUAAGAAACUCUGCUGAAAAACUGAAGUCAAAAUAUAAAAAUAAUUGAAACUCGAACUCUUUCCAAAACCUAAUCGUCUCCAUUUAAAAAAAAUAUAGACACAAAAAGAACCUAAAAGAUUACUAAUGCUCAUUAAAUGAUUCCUUUCUGCAUAAAUAAUCUGAAGAAUCAUCACCUUUAAAGGACCUUUAUUUGUUUUUUUAUAAAACAAACAAUAAACAAUGCGUUAAUAAGAAUAGAUUAUACAUUGAUAUACACAGGACAUAUGUGACAAUAUAAAACAACCAAAUAAAUAAAUACUCAUACAGAGGUUUUAUAUAUCCUGAUAACAUUUACAGCAAGAACUCUGAAUACCCCCACUAACUUGAAUAUGAUCAACCUGACUUUAUAAGGAAAUAGCUGCUUGUAAAUGUAUGCUUCAUGUUUGUAGGAUUUGCUCAAAAAUAAGAAAUAUACUAUUUAAGUGGAGACAAAACAGCUGACUAAAUUAGAUAUGCGAUUAAAAUAUGCAUAUUGGAUGUUUUUUUUCACUAGUUUGGAAGCAAAAUAGCCCAAGAACUUAACAAAAUGACCAGUGCAUGAAAAACUAAGCCUGUAGUGUGGUCUUAAAAAGAAAAGGGUGCAUGUUUUACACUUUUUUAUUACGCUAAUAGUCAAAUCCAGGUAAUAAUCUCCUGUCUGCUGAUCUCUAGUCAGCGCCUCGUUAGCCUGGAGCAGGAGGACUGAAAGUGACUCUGCUUUCUUUCCCAGUGAGGAAACACUUUGGUUUUUCCUCAUCGUUUCUUCGUUUCUCCUGAAGAUUUGAUAUGUGCUCGUUGAACUCCUGUUUCAUUCUUGAUGCUUGUCAUUCGGUCAACCUCUGGAAACAGGAAGCUGAAAAGACAAGAGGGUUUUAAAAAUGAAGUAGAUUUGUGUGCAUGUACGGUGGCAGGAACAAGUGAGUGAACCCUGUGUACUAAAACAGAUCCUAUCUUCACCUAGGUUACAAUAAUCAACUAACACAAUCUGUUUGUACUUAUCACUCACCAAUUAUUGUUUGUUCUUGUCCAUAUUGAAAUCAUUGUUCAAACAUUAACAGUAUAGGUUGGAAAAAGUAUGUGUAGACUUUAACACAAGCUAACUGAGUUUACUUUAAGAAAAGGUGCAGAGGACAGAUCAGCAGCUGGAUGUCUCCAGACAUUGGCAGAUAGAUGUCAGCUGAAACACAGCGCUCCAUUUGUCUUUGAUCAGGGCACACUGUAUUUCACUGUUCACAGCGCCGCAAUACAUCUUCAUCUGUCACGGGUCAACUCUUGAGGUGGGACGCAUUUUCACGUGUUUGCAGUUUUCCUCGAAUGCUUUUGACGUGUGUGUGUGUCUCGUACCAGCUGCAGAGGAAUAACUGAACCAUAUGCAUUCCUUCCUGAAAAUGCUACCAGAUUUUGACUUUGAUCACAUUCCUAAGGAGUGAAAACUGACUAGAAGACGGGAAAAGAGGAACAUUUCCAGGUCUUCUUACCCUUCUGGAGCAAAGGGAGCCGGUGAAUCCGCUCCUGCAGGCGCAGACGUUUGGCCGGACGCAGCGACUGCCGUAGAGACAUUUGGAUUCACAGAUGGCUGAAAAAAACACGGAAAACUAAAAUAAUCUGAGUAUAAAAUAAUUGUAUCUUGACAAAUAUCUCACUGGGAAUCAGAGACAAGUUUAUCAUGGCAUAUGUAGGAAACUCACGGAUCUGGCACAGCAUGCCCUGCCACCCUCGGGUGCAGUGGCAGGUGUUUGAGCCUACACACUCUCCCCCGUUCAGACACCUCUGCAGACAGCUGGCUGCAGGGAGUCACGAGGCACACACACACACACACCACACACACACAUAUUAGAGCAGCACAAGUCAGAGAAAAGUCACAAACAUCAGCGCUGAAUUACAUGACAUGCAUUCAAACACAGCACCAUUUUAUAAGACUUUCUAAAAUACUAAUCUAAAAUCAAGUUGAAAAGACAAAACGUCCAGAAUUCUCAAUGGAUUUUAUUUGAGGUAAAUCCUAUCUUCCUUAUCUCUUCCGAUCUACUUGUAGGUUUGCGUGUAUUCUACAAGGUUUUUACAGAUUAACUUCACACAGAUGUUCACACUGAUGCAUUAUGGGAUCCAACAUGCUGUAAAUGUAGGGAGUUAUGUAUCGGUACGGAUGGCACUCUUGUAUCACUUACGUUUAUCACAUCUGGUUCCACGCCAACCUGACGGACAAUCGCAAAGAUCUGGACCCACACACCUGCCUCCGUUCAUACACACCGGCUCACACACACCUGCAGAUAGAGGGAGAGGAAGACAUGGCUUGAAGAUGAAGGACAAUACAGGAAGGAGAGGAUGAGGAGGAAUUUAUACUGACUUUUUUCGCAUUGCUUCCCGGUGUAUCCCUUCAGACAGGAGCACACGUUGUUCCUGAUACACACAGCUCCAUUCUUACAGGGAGGACUGCACACAGCUGCAUGGGCAAGACAUUGAUUACUCGUGCGAUCAAAAUCAAUUAUGUUCCUAACUUAAGCUUUAUAAAUGCUUGACCAGCAGAAAAAACAUAUUGUUUGAUUAGUUAAUUUGUACCGUUCUGACACUGUGCACCGUAGGAUCCGUGAGGACACUCGCAGACAUUCGGACGGACACACACUCCUCCGUUGAGACACAUGGGAGAGCAGAGAGCUGCAGAGAGAGACAAGAGUCUGAUCCGGUGUAGCCUGGUUUGCAGCGGCAGGUGUUCGGAGCAGCACACUCCAUGUUCCUACCACACGUGUGCCUGCAAACAGCUGUAAAGGAGGUGUUAGGAGCGUCCGUCUCCAGUGUAUCCCACAGGACACCUCCCACAGUGGAACCCCUCCUCAGUGGGCUGGCAUUGGACCCCAGGAAAACAGGGCCGGUCUGCACAGGUGGUCACAUGUUUGCUCGCCGUCGUCCUCACCCCCAGCCGCGAGGAGCUGUGCCCCGCCCUCCCCGCUGUUCUUAAGGGGAGUCCCGGGAUUAUCUGCAGCGUCUCAAAGCUCGCCUCAGCCUCGUCUCCGUCAGCAGAGAACUCCAGCUCAGACAGGGAGUAGGACAGAGAGAACUGAUUUCAAAGGAGACCACAAAGAAAAACAUCCAGUUUUGCAUCCAGGAAAUCAUGCCUUUGGGGCACGGGCCGCAGCUAUAGGAGCCAAAGCGGUUGAAGCACGGGACUUCAGAGAAACACGGCGUCUCUUCACACUCAUCGAUGUCCUCCAGGCAUGUCACCCCUGCAAACACACAGGAAAUGAUGUCUGCAGUUAUAUUGUUGGCUAUCUUGUUUAUAUUUGUAUUACAUAAAUAGAUGUUUUUGUAAGCACAUGCACACACAUUGAAAGGAGUUUCAUUAAGGUCUCACCUGUCACCCCUGAAGGACACUCACACCUGUACCCAGUCUCUGUGUUGAUGCACGUGCCCGCCGCGCACGGGUCGGACAGACAGUCGUCCUCAUGCUGCUCGCAGAGGUCGCCCUGCGUCCCCUCAGGACACACACACAGAGAAGCUGCUCUGGGCGUUGCACUCGUCGGACAGCGUGAAGCGGACAGAAUGCUUCGAUGGACGCUCCUCUUCCUCCUCCUCCUCAGAGAGCGACGGGACCCUCCAGAUGAGGAGGCCUGCAGGGGACAGGACGCCCCCCCCAGGACCCUCCUCCAGCUGGAAGAGGAGCGCCGAGCCCUCGGGGUCCGACGCUGCGAACUGGAAGACGAAGUUCUCCCCGGAAAACGUCCGCAGGGCGCUCUGAGGCCGGUGGAAAGAUGGAGGCUCGUUGACUAAAGACAGAGGAGAGGAACACUUGAGAACCAUAAGCUUUGCAGGGAUUGGAACCAACCAACGACAACAACAUAAGCGGUUAAGCGACAGGUCAGGGCAUGCUGGGAAAUGUAGACCUCCGCUCCUUUGAUCUGCUAAUGAGGACAAACAGGACCACAGUGUGACGGCUGACACAGGAACAGCGUACUGAAACGACCAGGUGAACUUGGAGGUGUCAGGGUCACAGAGGAGGCAGGGGCUGCUGGGGCUGGAGACCCCCGCUGCGAAACACAUCCCGUCGAUGUUACACGUCUUCUCCUGAAAAAAAAGAAGGUCCUCGGGGCCGUAGAUGCCCCCGUCUGAUCCGUGGAAGUCGUUGUGUCCGUUGCGGUCGAAGGUGCCGCAGAGGCCCUGCGUGUGUCCGAAGUCGACGCUGGGAGCACGGACAGACAGACUCAUCCCCCAAUCGCCAACAUCGGCCCUAACAAAGGCCCCGGAGGGAAAGAUCAACUACGAGAGGAGAGGCACACCCAGCAGCUCAUUAACAUCUGCCCAUGCAGCAAAAGGACGUUGGGACAUAGCUUCUCCAGAGGCGGGGUGCGUUGGACCCGGGGAAGACACUGAUCAGACUCGGGCGGUUCCCGUCUCGUGUGAAGUCGGUGACGGCGGUGAUUAAAACCGUGGCUCGGCCGCAGCUGCCCCCGCUACAGGCGUUGGGCCGCAGCUCCACCUGGCAGGCCGACAGCGCCACGUUUGGGGACUCGUGUCCGUCUGCGGAUGUCAACACAGCCGUCUGACCUGGGUCCUGCACGCUCAGAGCCAGAGGGACCCCACACUGGUGGCCGUGGUCGGGGCCGAAGCAGGGGAUGGGCACCGUGCUGUGCACCGUCACCUCGUGCUCUUUACUGUUCUCCACUAUGUGCAGCGAUUCUGGAGAAAACUGGAGAGAAAGAAGUCAUUGAUUAUCUCAGGUUCACCUUUGGCGCAGUAUCCCAUGCACCCCUGCGUGGGCUGCAGGCGGUACACCAUGAACUCCCCACAGUUGCGCACGGUGACGGGGAUGCGGAAGAGGCAGCAGUCCUUGGCGCUUCCGUGGAAGAACUGCCAGGUGGCGCAGGCGGAGAGCUGCCGGAGCUCGCCGGGGCGCGGCAGGGGGGCGUCCUUCAGCGACAGCCACACCGGAGCCUGAGUGCCGCAGUGGUUCAUCUGAAA